AGGGUUUGAUCAUGGCUCAGAACGUACGCUGGCGGCACGCCUAACACAUGCAAGUCGAACGAAGUAGCAAUACUUAGUGGCAGACGGGUGAGUAACAUGUGGGUAUCUGCCCUUUGGCCUGGAAUAACACGAGGAAACUUGUGCUAAUACCGGAUAAGUCUUUACGGAGAAAGCUUUAUGCACCAUUGGAUGAGCCUGCACUUGAUUAGUUUGUUGGUGGGGUAAUGGCCUACCAAGACUGUGAUCAAUAGCUGAUUUGAGAGGAUGAUCAGCCACAUUGGGACUGAGACACGGCCCAAACUCCUACGGGAGGCAGCAGUGGGGAAUCUUGCACAAUGGAGGAAACUCUGAUGCAGCGAUGCCGCGUGAGUGAAGAAGGCCCUUGGGUUGUAAAGCUCUUUCGUCGGGGAAGAAAAUGACUGUACCCGAAUAAGAAGGUCCGGCUAACUUCGUGCCAGCAGCCGCGGUAAUACGAAGGGACCUAGCGUAGUUCGGAAUUACUGGGCUUAAAGAGUUCGUAGGUGGUUGAAAAAGUUAGUGGUGAAAUCCCAGAGCUUAACUCUGGAACUGCCAUUAAAACUUUUCAGCUAGAGUAUGAUAGAGGAAAGCAGAAUUUCUAGUGUAGAGGUGAAAUUCGUAGAUAUUAGAAAGAAUACCAAUUGCGAAGGCAGCUUUCUGGAUCAUUACUGACACUGAGGAACGAAAGCAUGGGUAGCGAAGAGGAUUAGAUACCCUCGUAGUCCAUGCCGUAAACGAUGUGUGUUAGACGUUGGAAAUUUAUUUUCAGUGUCGCAGGGAAACCGAUAAACACACCGCCUGGGGAGUACGACCGCAAGGUUAAAACUCAAAUGAAUUGACGGGGACCCGCACAAGUAGUGGAGCAUGUGGUUUAAUUCGAAGAUACGCGCAGAACCUUACCAACACUUGACAUGUUCGUCGCGACUCUAAGAGAUUAGAGUUUUCGGUUCGGCCGGACGAAACACAGGUGCUGCAUGGCUGUCGUCAGCUCGUGUCGUGAGAUGUUGGGUUAAGUCCCGCAACGAGCGCAACCCUCACUUUUAGUUGCCAUCAUUAAGUUGGGCACUCUGAAAGAACUGCCAGUGAUAAGCUGGAGGAAGGUGGGGAUGACGUCAAGUCCUCAUGGCCCUUACGUGUUGGGCUACACACGUGCUACAAUGGUAUCUACAACAGGAAGCAAGACUGCGAAGUUAAGCAAAUCCCUAAAAGAUACCUCAGUUCGGAUUGCACUCUGCAACUCGAGUGCAUGAAGCUGGAAUUACUAGUAAUCGUGGAUCAGCGUGCCACGGUGAAUGCGUUCCCGGGUCUUGUACACACCGCCCGUCACACCAUGGGAGUUGGUUCUACCUUAAGGCAAGGUUUCAAACCCUUGACCACGGUAUAGUCAGCGACUGGGGUGAAGUCGUAACAAGGUAGCCGUA
rnacentral:rRNA from 1 species